rnacentral:rRNA from 1 species
CGGCGGAUGGGUGAGUAUCACGUGGGCAACCUGCCUGUAAGAUUGGGAUAACUCGCGGAAACGUGAGCUAAUACCGAAUGAAGUCUUUCACCGCCUGGUGAAAGGAUGAAAGAUGGCUUUUAGCUAUCACUUACAGAUGGGCCCGCGGCGCAUUAGCUAGUUGGUGGGGUAAAGGCCUACCAAGGCGACGAUGCGUAGCCGACCUGAGAGGGUGAUCGGCCACACUGGGACUGAGACACGGCCCAGACUCCUACGGGAGGCAGCAGUAGGGAAUCUUCCGCAAUGGACGAAAGUCUGACGGAGCAACGCCGCGUGAGUGAUGAAGGUCUUCGGAUCGUAAAACUCUGUUGUCAGGGAAGAACAAGUUGUGUUCUAACAGGACACGACCUUGACGGUACCUGACCAGAAAGCCCCGGCUAACUACGUGCCAGCAGCCGCGGUAAUACGUAGGGGGCAAGCGUUGUCCGGAAUUAUUGGGCGUAAA